GUUCCCUCCUCGCGCCGCCAACCCUUUCCCCUCCCCUCUGUUUCCUCUUCUUCCUCAAGGAACAGAGAAAGAGAAAACACCACCGAGAGCCUCGCCGUUGCUUGCGUGGUUGGAGGUCACCACGGUCAUCUCCGCAUGUACACAUCAACAAAGUAGCCACGUCACAACCAUGCAUUCCCACCGCAAGGCGCAAGCACACCUCCUCGGGUGUGAACUGACCUUUUCUUUCCCCCUAAAUUCAAGCCAUGCAUUAGCUAUCGGAUUCAAUGAGCCAAGAACCGAGGAGGUUUGCCUUCUCCACUUCUCCUCCCUGGCCGCUUCUCCUCCCCUCCACUUUCCUCACUCUUGCGCUUCCAUCCUCACCGGGGCUACAAAUACGUUCCCCUUGCGGGUGUGGCGACUGCGUAGUCAAGACGGCGUCCGCAGAACCCUAAACAAUCUUUUCCAAUCUUUUCCACCUGCUCUGGGUCCUCCUUCUACUGCCGGCCUCCCCACGUCGGUGUUCAGACCCGUCCCUUCUGUCGUUCCUCCGCUCCGGGUCCUCCUCGAGGCCGGCAGCAUCGGACGCAACAGACGCGGCGGACGCGACUCGCGGCCCCGGUUUGUGCGGGAUCCAUCAAGGUGGCCUCGGGAAGGAGCAGGUCGCCGGUAUCGCCACGCCUCCUCGCGGCCGCCAUGGCAGGCAAGCCAUCACCUCGCAGCCGAUUUAUUCUCUGCGCACGCCAUGCCUCCCCUGCGGUUUCUCCUCGCGCUGACGGCUUGGGACGCACGCACCGGAUGAGACCCUCCCUGCCACGGAGGAGAAGCUCGCCGGCCUCCCCCUGCCUCCUUGACGUAGAUAUCAAUGCCCGCAAGCCCAGCUUCAAGAAGACGGUGUGCCAUGUUCAGGUUCCAAAUGUUCUAAACCUCUGCAUGUUCAGGUUCGAUUCAGAAUUUGAGAAGCAGGUGCUUACGGUGUCACGCAGUACAGUGAAAAGGGCGUUUAGAUAUACUUAACAGGUCCAUCAUUUCAGCUUUCGGUUCAUUCAUCUAUCUAAACUGUGAGGAGGAGCUAUCAAGGCUAGGGAUGUGUAUACAUCACUCCUAGCCACCGGAAGAAGUGGCCAGUUUUCCCCAUACACCUAAUUGUCUACAAUUUUGAUUGAUUUAUUUAUUUUUGCAAGAAUUUGAAACUGCAGGACGCCGGAGGCAUCCAAUAGUUGUAAUUUCCUGUUUGCUUUUGUCAAAUAUAUUCAGAAUUGUAUAAGUCACUUGCCUUAUUAAUCUUUUCGUCUCCACAAAGGUUAUGUUUGUGAGCACGUUUAA